UACCAUUCUUUCACUCUGUUUCAAAAUGUGAGGUACUUGCAGAUUUGCAUUCCCUUAGGGUUUUAAAGUUUAAACACACUUCCUUAAUUCUUAAAAUGUGCUAUAAAUUGUAAUACUGGGAACACUGUUCCUGGAUUGGUGUUCGGCGUGGGCCAGUACAAUAUAUGGAUCUAUAGAGCUAGCUGGUUGAGAUAAGAAAGCUUUCACUGGGAAGGAAGCCCCAUUAGCACAAAGUCAACUCAAAAAUAUAAGCCAUGGAUUACAAGAUCAAGUAUCUAGUGUGAGCACAACCUUAUUAUAUCAUGAAGGAAUUAGAUUAUAUUUUUUAGUUUAUUUUGCUGGAUCAAGAACUCAAAUCAGCUGCAGGUUUCUAAAAAUAAGAGCAACCCAGUCCUGAUGAGCUCUGUUGUGAAACAGUGUUUAGAUUUCCUGAAAACUAUUUUGCCAAUUGGAGCAAUGAAAUUGCUGGUUCCUCACCACACAUCUGCUCUAAUGUGAUCAGGGCAUCGUGAGGCAGCUAAAGAUGUGGGUUCUCUACAUGGGGACAGGCUCCCCUCCCGUUUAUAACUCUCCUGUUUUCUUCCGUUUUAAUUUAGAUGAUUGACACAUAGCCCACAUAAAAUCCAAGGGUUAAAAAACAUCCAUGACAUAUUAAGUUUUCUCUCUCUCUCUCUGUUCUUUGUUUUUUUUUUACUCUCUCUUAUCUGCCUCUUUCGCCGAUCCACAACAUUGCCCUCAUCCUUUGGUGGACGGUGGCAGUUUGGACUGAAGCGGUGGUGAGAUUAAUGGCUGAGAGCAUCAAGACUCGGUUUGGUGGCAGUGCGAAACUAAACAGGGAAGUCCUCCAGCUGGGUAGAUGGCCAGUGGUUGCAGAAAAUUAGAUCAAAGGUGAUAUGGAUUUUUGGAGUGGGACUUUCGAUGGGUAGUGAAUUUGGUAUGAGCUGGGGUUAGGCCAUUGCUAAUUUGCUAUUGUUGUGGCAUGGUGAUAUAAAGAGAGAAACUGUGUUGAGAUUGUAAGUAAGAGCCUCAUAAGUGAUUUGCUCUGAUCUAGACGCAGGUGUCAGUAAUGAUGUUGGUCGGAGAAAGAGGCAUAUUUGGAUUUGUUUGUUAACAAUUUUUUACUUCAUUGCAAACACUAUCAUAGGCUAAUUGAUCUUUUUUAUUUUUUGGGAAAAUGAGAAGUCAUAACAAUGGAAACUCAAGACAUCGAAAAUUGAUGAGAUAAAAUAUAAAAUUCAUGUUCUAUUUUUUGAGGAAAGGAACUGAAUCCCGCUUCAGUCCAAAUUGCCACCAUCCAGAAGUCCACCAAAUGUUGAGGAUGAUGAUCUCUGAGAACUCACUUUCUGAUAAUAAGAAGUUUGGAAAAUGAGAGAGCGAGCAAGAGAUGUU